GUGACCCCAGGUCAGGCAGGCC
rnacentral:rRNA from 1 species